rnacentral:rRNA from 1 species
UACGGAGGGUGCAAGCGUUAUCCGGAUUCACUGGGUUUAAAGGGUGCGUAGGCGGGCAGGUAAGUCCGUGGUGAAAUCUCUGAGCUUAACUCAGAAACUGCCAUGGAUACUAUUUGUCUUGAAUAUUGUGGAGGUAAGCGGAAUAUGUCAUGUAGCGGUGAAAUGCUUAGAUAUGACAUAGAACACCAAUUGCGAAGGCAGCUUACUACACAGUUAUUGACGCUGAGGUGCGAAAGCGUGGGGAGCAAACAGG